GGGUAUGUUUUAGGAUGUUGUAUUAUUUGUGAAUAUAUCCAAAAAGGAGGAUGCAUAUAAGUAAUAUAACAAUUAAGAGAUUGGUUAAGACAACAUGCAAUAAGAAAGUGAAGGUUCACCACACACAUCUGAUUUGUUUCCCUCAGAAAACAAUAUACUUUGCAUAAACUUGUCUCUAUCAGAGUAGUAAGUUAUGUAAGAAAAGAUGUUCAUUAUCAUCAACUAGCUAGCUAAGCAAUAAUAUUGACAACAGACUAUUCUCUUCCUUUCUCUUUCUCUUUCUCUUUCUGCUUAAAAAUACACAAUAUCUCUCUCUCAUGGACCAGGUGGGUGGUGGUGGUGUAGUAGUAGUAGUAGUAGCAGUUGGUGAUGGUUCUUUAUAGCUGUUGGCUGUUUUUAUAUCUGUGGCAGUGGAUUCUGAACCCAAUUGUGGUCCUCAACAAAAAAUGUUACCCAUAUUACACGAAUGGAUCAUCCUCCUAUUUCACCACUUCUAAUCAUCUCUCUUUCUUUUCUUUUCUUUCUCUCACUCCCUCUGUUACAAAGUACAUCUCUCUCUCUCUCCUCUCUUUCUCUUUCUUGAUUGUAGUGACAUGAUCUUCUUUUGCCUUCUCAUUUUACA
rnacentral:lncRNA from 1 species